UGAAUCGGAUAAGCAGACUGAAUUAUCCCAACAGUUGCCCCCUACUCCCAAGUCCAAGGUGGCUUGACAUGUGAAUUGGCACGUCGGACGAAGAGAGUUGUCAUGUGCAAUCUCGAGCUCCGAUUCGACUACAGAUAUUAAUGAUUUUUUUAAAAAAUAAAAAAAUCUUCUAUCAUUUUAUCAUUUCGAUAUCCGUGAGAUCAUCAUUGGGAUGUCGAUUCGAGAAGAUGGUUUGGCAUUCGGAGAAUUCG
rnacentral:lncRNA from 1 species